AGCGAACGCUGGCGGCAGGCCUAACACAUGCAAGUCGAACGAACUCUUCGGAGUUAGUGGCGGACGGGUGAGUAACACGUGGGAACGUGCCUUUUGGUUCGGAAUAACUCAGGGAAACUUGUGCUAAUACCGAAUGUGCCCUUCGUGGGAAAGAUUUAUCGCCAUUAGAGCGGCCCGCGUCUGAUUAGCUAGUUGGUGAGGUAACGGCUCACCAAGGCGACGAUCAGUAGCUGGUCUGAGAGGAGGACCAGCCACACUGGGACUGAGACACGGCCCAGACUCUUACGGAAGGCAGCAGUGGGGAAUCUUGCGAAAUGGGCGAAAGCCUGACGCAGCCAUGCCGCGUGAAUGAUGAAGGUCUUAGGAUUGUAAAAUUCUUUCACAGGGGACGAUAAUGACGGUACCGGGAGAAGAAGCCCCGGCUAACUUCGUG
rnacentral:rRNA from 1 species